rnacentral:rRNA from 1 species
UACGGAGGGGGCGAGCGUUAUUCGGAAUUAUUGGGCGUAAAGGGCGCGUAGGCGGCUUUACAAGUCAAAGGUGAAAUCCCUCGGCUCAACUGAGGAACUGCCUUUGAAACUGUACGGCUUGAGGCCGGGAGGGGGUAGCGGAAUUCCCAGUGUAGCGGUGAAAUGCGUAGAUACUGGGAGGAACACCAGUGGCGAAGGCGGCUCACUGGACCGGUACUGACGCUGAGGCGCGAAAGCGUGGGUAGCAAACAGG